AUUGAACGCUGGCGGCAUGCCUUGCACAUGCAAGUCGAACGGUAACAGGUCUUCGGAUGCUGACGAGUGGCGAACGGGUGAGUAAUACAUCGGAACGUGCCUAGUAGAGGGGGAUAACUACUCGAAAGAGUGGCUAAUACCGCAUGAGAUCUACGGAUGAAAGCAGGGGAUCGCAAGACCUUGUGCUACUAGAGCGGCCGAUGGCAGAUUAGGUAGUUGGUGGGAUAAAAGCUUACCAAGCCGACGAUCUGUAGCUGGUCUGAGAGGACGAUCAGCCACACUGGGACUGAGACACGGCCCAGACUCCUACGGGAGGCAGCAGUGGGGAAUGUUGGACAAUGGGCGAAGGCCUGAUCCAGCAAUGCCGCGUGCAGGAUGAAGGCCUUCGGGUUGUAAACUGCUUUUGUACGGAACGAAAAGCCCCGGGUUAAUACCCUGGGGUCAUGACGGUACCGUAAGAAUAAGCACCGGCUAACUACGUGCCAGCCGCCGCCGUAA
rnacentral:rRNA from 1 species